rnacentral:rRNA from 1 species
GACGAACGCUGGCGGCGUGCUUAACACAUGCAAGUCGAACGGAAAGGCCCUGCUUUUGUGGGGUGCUCGAGUGGCGAACGGGUGAGUAACACGUGAGUAACCUGCCCUUGACUUUGGGAUAACUUCAGGAAACUGGGGCUAAUACCGGAUAGGAGCUCCUGCUGCAUGGUGGGGGUUGGAAAGUUUCGGCGGUUGGGGAUGGACUCGCGGCUUAUCAGCUUGUUGGUGGGGUAGUGGCUUACCAAGGCUUUGACGGGUAGCCGGCCUGAGAGGGUGACAGGCAACAUUGGGACUGAGAUACGGCCCAGACUCCUACGGGAGGCAGCAGUGGGGAAUAUUGCACAAUGGGCGGAAGCCUGAUGCAGCAACGCCGCGUGCGGGAUGACGGCCUUCGGGUUGUAAACCGCUUUCGCCUGUGACGAAGCGUGAGUGACGGUAAUGGGUAAAGAAGCACCGGCUAACUACGUG